rnacentral:rRNA from 1 species
UACGGAGGGUGCAAGCUUUAAUCGGAAUUACUGGGCGUAAAGCGCACGCAGGUGGUUUGUUAAGUCGGAUGUGAAAUCCCCGGGCUCAACCUGGGAACUGCAUUCGAAACUGGCAGGCUGGAGUCUUGUAGAGGGGCGUAGAAUUCCAGGUGUAGCGGUGAAAUGCGUAGAGAUCUGGAGGAAUACCGGUGGCGAAGGCGGCCCCCUGGACGAAGACUGACGCUCAGGUACGAAAGCGUGGGGAGCAAACAGG